rnacentral:lncRNA from 1 species
CCCCCUCCUCCAAAACUACGCCCCAGAUUUUCCAGCAAGCCCCACUUUGGAGCAGUUAAAACCCUGCUGGCUUGUCAAACCGGAGAGCAAUCCGCUCCGAAUUUAACUGCUUCCUGUUUAAAACCAGCAAAAAAGCCAUCCAGUACCUUUCUCUCUCCCCCCCCCACGUUUAAUCUCAACAGCAGUGCUAUAAUUCUGUGUCAUCGCUAAGAAACGCUGCUAGAAUUCAUCCUGUUCGCCUCCAUGGCUGUGGAUAUAGGGGCCAUAUUUGCAUAUAUGGUAAUAAGCUUCUAAUUGCCAGGCUGAUGGGCUUUGCUGAUCGAUUGCUAUAAAUACACAGGUUCAGAAAGCUUUGCAAUAGUGCUCCCCCCGCCUCCUUUUCAAAAUAUCCUUGCAAUGUACCAGUUUGAGCUCCCAAUAUUUGCAUAUCAAUUUUUUUUAAAUAUAAUACGUAUACUUUACGUAUAGGCUACGUGGAAGUCUCCUUUUGCGGCUCCUAUAUAUCCUUACGCCUCGCGCCUCUUCCCCCCUCUGUUUUUCUUUCCUUGUCAAUUCCAUUUUCAGGUUCCUCCUUGAAGAGUUUUUUUUUUUCUCCUCCGAGGAUUAAAGGAAGAGGGGAGAGAGAGAGAAAGGAAAGAAAGACAGAAAAGCUGCAGAAAGCAAUUUCUCGUCUAGCGCUAUAAAAACAGGAAGAUUGACGCGAAGAUUCCUUCCCCAUCUGGGCAGCGAAAAGCGAGGGGGCUUCGGGGCAGACCCACGAGAACAGAUGCUGCUGGCGAAGGUAACAGGAGGGAAAGAGAGGAACGCAGUUGGGCUGCCUGUAGCAGGAAGGAAACACCUCUCUGUUCUAACUGGCAUUGCAAGCGUGGAGCCAGAGCUAUCGCUCUUGAGCGAAGCAGGUAGGUUGUAAAGAAAACCAGAGAGAAUUUGAAGCACG